rnacentral:rRNA from 1 species
AACGUAGGUUCCGAGCGUUAUCCGGAUUUACUGGGCGUAAAGCGCGUUCAGGCGGUUUGGCAAGUCGGGCAUGAAAUCUCUCGGCUCAACCGGGAGAGGUUGUCCGAUACUUCCAGACUUGAGGGCAGUAGAGGGUGGUGGAAUUCCGGGUGUAGUGGUGAAAUGCGUAGAUAUUCGCAAGAACACCAGUGGCGAAGGCGGCUCACUGGCCCGAUACUGACGCUGAGGCACGAAAGCGUGGGGAGCAAACAGG